GAUGAAGAACGCAGCGAUAUGCGAUAAGUAAUGUGAAUUGCAGAAUUCAGUGAAUCAUCGAAUCUUUGAACGCACAUUGCGCCCACCAGUAUUCUGGCGGGCAUGCCUGUUCGAGCGUCAUUUCAACCAUCAAGCCCCCGGCUUGUGUUGGGGACCUGCGGCUGCCGCAGGCCCUGAAAACCAGUGGCGGGCUCGCUAGUCACUCCGAGCGUAGUAAUACAUCUCGCUCAGGGCGUGCUGCGGGUUCCGGCCGUUAAAAAGCCUUAUUUACCCAAGGUUGACCUCGGAUCAGGUAGGAAGACCCGCUGAACUUAAGCAUAUCAAUAAGCGGAGGA
rnacentral:misc_RNA from 1 species